AACGAACGCUGGCGGCAUGCCUAACACAUGCAAGUCGAACGAGACCUUCGGGUCUAGUGGCGCACGGGUGCGUAACCCGUCGGAACCUUCCCUUAGGUUCGGAAUAACUCCCCGAAAGGGGUGCUAAUACCGGAUAAUUUCUUCGGACCAAAGAUUUAUUGCCUAUGGAUGGGCACGCGUUGGAUUAGCUAGUUGGUAGGGUAAAAGCCUACCAAGGCGACUAUCCAUAGCUGGUCUGAGAGGAGGAUCAACCACACUGGGACUGAGACACGGCCCAGACGCCUACGGGAGGCAGCAGUGGGGAAUAUUGAACAAUGGGCGAAUGCCUAAUCCAGCAAUGCCGCGUGAGUGAUUAAGGCCUUAGGGUUGUAAAGCUCUUUUACCCGGGAUGAUAAUGACAGUACCGGGAGAAUAAGCGCCGGCUAACUCCGUG
rnacentral:rRNA from 1 species